rnacentral:rRNA from 1 species
UACGAAGGGGGCUAGCGUUGCUCGGAAUUACUGGGCGUAAAGGGCGCGUAGGCGGAUACUUAAGUCGGGGGUGAAAGCCCAGGGCUCAACCCUGGAACAGCCUUCGAUACUGGGUAUCUUGAGUACGGGAGAGGUGAGUGGAACUCCGAGUGUAGAGGUGAAAUUCGUAGAUAUUCGGAAGAACACCAGUGGCGAAGGCGGCUCACUGGCCCGGUUCUGACGCUGAGGUGCGAAAGCGUGGGGAGCAAACAGG